UCAUCGUAGGGUUAGUCGGGACCUAAGUCGAGUCCGAAAGGGGUAGACGAUGGCAAAUAGGUUAAUAUUCCUAUACCGACAUAUCAUCGUUUGAGUGAUGGGGGGACGCAUAGAGUUAAAGGAGCUCACUGAUGGAAUAGUGGGUCGAAGGGCGUAGGUCGUACAGUAGGCAAAUCCGCUGUACAUGAGACCGAGACCUGACAGGCAGAGCAAUCUCUUCGGAGAGCGCUUUGAAUCCUUGAUACUGUCGUGCCGAGAAAAGCCUCUAAACGAGAUUGUAUGUUGCCCGUACCGUAAACCGACACAGGUGGGUGGGAUGAGUAUUCUAAGGCGCGUGGAUGAACCCUGGUUAAGGAACUCUGCAAACUAGCACCGUAUCUUCGGUAUAAGGUGUGCCAUAUUUGUUUAGGGAUUUACUCCCGAAGGCAAUGACUGGUCGCAGCAAAGAGUCCCUCCCGA
rnacentral:rRNA from 1 species